rnacentral:rRNA from 1 species
AUGACCCAAAAACAUCCAAGGAAACCUGGGCUUGACAUGUCUGCAUGGUACACUGAAGAAGUGGGCAAAUUUAGAGAAGUUUGGCCUAUUGUGAUGAAGCGCCAAGAACUCAAAUAUGGUACUGGAAUUUUUUAUAUGGUCGGUAUGGACCUAUCACUCAACUACCUAACAGGUGAAAUUCCGGAUGGCAUAACCUCUCUCAAUGGGCUGCUGAAUCUGAACUUCUCAUGCAACCAAUUGAGUGGAGAAAUUCCUAGGAAGAUUGGAGCUAUGAAAUCACUUGAAUCGCUGGACCUCUCAAGGAACAACCUUUCUGGUGAAAUCCCAACAAGCUUGUCAGAUUUGACUUAUUUAAGCUCCUUGGACUUGUCAUAUAACAAUCUUAUAGGAAGAAUUCCACAGGGACGCCAACUUGACACCCUUUACUUGGAGAACCAGUCCAUAUACACGGGUAACAUUGGUCUAUGUGGUACUCCUCUUGAAAGGAAUUGCUCAGGAAACAAUUCACCAGAGCACGACAAUCAACAGAAAAAUCAGAAUGUUUCCGAGCCUGUGUUGUUCUUUUACUUUGGACUUGGGUCCGGGUUUGUCGCUGGCCUCUGGGUCGUGUUUUGCACCCUACUGUUCAAGAAAGUGUGGAGAGUUGCCUAUUUCCGCCUCUUUGACAAGUCGUAUGACAAGGCAUACGUGUUUGUGGUUGUUACUUGGGGUAGGAUAACCGGCAAGGCGACAACAACUUAA